rnacentral:rRNA from 1 species
GAUGAACGCUGGCGGCGUGCCUAAUACAUGCAAGUCGAGCGAACGGACGAGAAGCUUGCUUCUCUGAUGUUAGCGGCGGACGGGUGAGUAACACGUGGAUGACCUACCUAUAAGACUGGGAUAACUUCGGGAAACCGGAGCUAAUACCGGAUGAUAUUUUGAACCGCAUGGUUCAAAAGUGAAAGACGGUCUUGCUGUCACUUAUAGAUGGAUCCGCGCUGCAUUAGCUAGUUGGUAAGGUAACGGCUUACCAAGGCAACGAUGCAUAGCCGACCUGAGAGGGGGGUCGGCCACACUGGAGCUGAGACACGGUCCAGACUCCUACGGGAGGCAGCAGUAGGGAAUCUGCCGCAAUGGGCGAGAGCCUGACGGAGCAACGCCGCGUGAGUGAUGAAGGUCUUCGGAUCGUAAAACUCUGUUAUUAGGGAAGAACAUAUGUGUAAGUAACUGUGCACAUCUUGACGGUACCUAAUCAGAAAGCCACGGCUAACUACGUG